rnacentral:tRNA from 1 species
GCGAAGGUGGCGGAAUUGGUAUACGCGCUAGCUUCAGGUGUUAGUGUCCUUACGGACGUGGGGGUUCAAGUCCCCCCCCUCGCACCA